GCCUGGGUGGCUUAGUUGGUUACGCGUGGGACUUCGGCUCAGGUCACGAUCUCAUGGUUUGUGGGUUCGAGUCCCACAUCAGGCU
rnacentral:tRNA from 1 species